GGGAUCUCUCCAAUGAGACCCACUCCUUUUGCUUCACUCACAAGACAACAGACUAAAAGGCAGGAAGGGGCAGGAAGCCUGCAUGAAUCCACAUCAACCUGUACAAAUGUGAAACCAACUUCCAAUUUCUCCCCGGAAAGAGACAUGAAGGCUACAGGCUGAAAUAUGAUGAUACACUGGCUUUCUGAAGAGAAUAUCAGCUCCCUGGCAAGCUAGCAGCAAACUCUAAAGGACAUUUUGAGGUACAACCUUCUACACAGCAAUCAUUGGUAUAAUAAACAUUUGGCCAAUGGAUUACAUUUCAAUCUAAGUCUUCCUCAAAGGAACUCAGAGUAGCAACUGAAGCUCACAACAAAGCUGAAGAAAGUUUAGACUGUGAAGUAGAUUAGGCAGAGAGCAACUUGCCCAGAGCAGGGACUGAAUCUGAGUUUUCCAUAUCCAGAAACAACA